rnacentral:rRNA from 1 species
UACGUAGGCAGCGAGCGUUGUUCGGAGUUACUGGGCGUAAAGAGCUCGUAGGUGGUUUGUCGCGUUGUUCGUGAAAACUCACAGCUUAACUGUGGGCGUGCGGGCGAUACGGGCAGACUUGAGUACUGCAGGGGAGACUGGAAUUCCUGGUGUAGCGGUGGAAUGCGCAGAUAUCAGGAGGAACACCGGUGGCGAAGGCGGGUCUCUGGGCAGUAACUGACGCUGAGGAGCGAAAGCGUGGGGAGCGAACAGG